GCUGGGUGUGGUGGUGGGCACCUGUAAUCCCAGCUACUCGGGAGGCAGAGGCAGGAGAAUUGCUUGAAUCCAGGAGGCAGAGGUUGCAGUGAGCUGAGAUCACGCUACUGCACUCCAUCCUGGGUGACAGAGCAAGACUCUGUCUCUA
ensembl:misc_RNA Metazoa_SRP Metazoan signal recognition particle RNA